rnacentral:rRNA from 1 species
UACGGGGGGUGCGAGCGUUGUCCGGAAUUACUGGGCGUAAAGCGUGCGCAGGCGGUCCGCAAAGUCUGAUGUGAAAGCCCCGGGCUCAACCUGGGAACUGCAUUGGAAACUAACGGGCUCGAGUGUGGCAGAGGGGGGUGGAAUUCCACGUGUAGCAGUGAAAUGCGUAGAGAUGUGGAGGAACACCGAUGGCGAAGGCAGCCCCCUGGGCUAACACUGACGCUCAGGCACGAAAGCGUGGGGAGCAAACAGG